UACGUAGGGGGCUAGCGUUGUCCGGAAUCAUUGGGCGUAAAGAGCGUGUAGGCGGCUCAGUAAGUCCGCUGUGAAAGUCCAGAGCUCAACCCUGGAAUGCCAGUGGAAACUGUUGAGCUAGAGUCCGGAAGAGGCGAGUGGAAUUCCUGGUGUAGCGGUGAAAUGCGCAGAUAUCAGGAGGAACACCAAUGGCGAAGGCAGCUCGCUGGGACGGUACUGACGCUGAGACGCGAAAGCGUGGGGAGCAAACAGG
rnacentral:rRNA from 1 species